CGGGCCCGGCCCGCACCUGCGGAACCCCCCGCACCCGCGGCGGGAGGGACCCGCGCGGCCGGGCUGAGGUGAGGGAAGAGUCGCCAGGGCCUGAGCGGGCAUCCCCAAAGGUUACUUGCUGCAGAUUUCAGCUCCUUGCUUCACUCCCUGCCUGCCAUGGUUGCUGAGCUACAGGCUGUCCCAGAGGAGGUACCAUGAAAACAGCGUUAUCUGGAUUAAGGCUUAUGGCAUCAAAAGUCCCCUUGUCAAUGCAAAUCUCAAAUCCUGACAGCUCAGCUGAUG